UACGGGGGGGGGCAAGCGUUGUUCGGAAUUACUGGGCGUAAAGGGCUCGUAGGCGGCCAACUAAGUCGGAUGUGAAAUCCCCAGGCUCAACUUGGGAACUGCAUCCGAUACUGGAUGGCUUGAAUUCGGGAGAGGGAUGCAGAAUUCCAGGUGUAGCGGUGAAAUGCGUAGAUAUCUGGAGGAAUACCGGUGGCGAAGGCGGCAUCCUGGACCGACAUUGACGCUGAGGAGCGAAAGCCAGGGGAGCAAACGGG
rnacentral:rRNA from 1 species